rnacentral:rRNA from 1 species
AACGAACGCUGGCGGCAGGCUUAACACAUGCAAGUCGAACGCAUCCUUCGGGGCGAGUGGCAGACGGGUGAGUAACGCGUGGGAACGUGCCCUUCAGUUCGGGAUAACCCAGGGAAACUUGGGCUAAUACCGGAUACGUGCGAGAGCAGAAAGAUUUAUCGCUGAAGGAUCGGCCCGCGUCUGAUUAGGUAGUUGGUGGGGUAAUGGCCCACCAAGGCGACGAUCAGUAGCUGGUCUGAGAGGAUGAUCAGCCACAUUGGGACUGAGACACGGCCCAAACUCCUACGGGAGGCAGCAGUGGGGAAUAUUGGACAAUGGGCGCAAGCCUGAUCCAGCCAUGCCGCGUGAGUGAUGAAGGCCUUAGGGUUGUAAAGCUCUUUCGUCCGGGACGAUAAUGACGGUACCGGAAGAAGAAGCCCCGGCUAACUUCGUGCCAGCCGCCGCCGUAAGAC